GGAUUUAUUUUUACUGCAUUACUAAAGUUUCUAAUAAAUACAUACGACUAAACCUGAAGGGAAACUAAAGGCAGGAAUGGGGAAAAGUGAGCAUAGAGAGAUUGUGAAAGGCUGAACAAAAGGCAGGUAUUGAGAAAAGUGACCAUAGAGAGAUUGUGAAAGGCUGAACAAAAGGCAGGUAUUGAGAAAAGUGACCAUAGAGAGAUUGAGAAAGACUGAACAAAAGGAAGGUAUUGAGAAAAGUGACCAUAGAGAGAUUGAGAAAGACUGAAAAAAAGGCAGGUAUUGAGAAAAGUGACCAUAGAGAGAUUGUGAAAGGUUGAACAAAAGGAAGGUAUUGAGAAAAUUGACCAUAGAGAGAUUGUGAAAGGCUGAACAAAAGGCAGGUAUUGAGAAAAUUGACCAUAGAGAGAUUGUGAAAGGCUGAACAAAAGGCAGGUAUUGAGAAAAGUGAGCAUAGAGAGAUUGAGAAAGGCUGAACAAAAGGCAGGUAUUGAGAAAAGUGACCAUAGAGAGAUUGAGAAAGACAACAAAAGGCAGGUAUUGAGAAAAGUGACCAUAGAGAGAUUGAGAAAGACAACAAAAGGCAGGUAUUGAGAAAAGUGACCAUAGAGAGAUUGUGAAAGACAACAAAAGGAAGGUAUUGAGAAAAGUGACCAUAGAGAGAUUGUGAAAGACUGAACAAAAGGCAGGUAUUGAGAAAAGUGACCAUAGAGAGAUUGUGAAAGACAACAAAAGGCAGGUAUUGAGAAAAGUGACCAUAGAGAGAUUGUGAAAGGCUGAACAAAAGGAAGGUAUUGAGAAAAGUGACCAUAGAGAGAUUGUGAAAGGCUGAACAAAAGGAAGGUAUUGAGAAAAGUGACCAUAGAGAGAUUGUGAAAGGCUGAACAAAAGGGAGGUAUUGAGAAAAGUGACCAUAGAGAGAUUGUGAAAGGCUGAACAAAAGGAAGGUAUUGAGAAAAGUGACCAUAGAGAGAUAGUGAAAGGCUGAACAAAAGGCAGGUAUUGAGAAAAGUGACCAUAGAGAGAUUGUGAAAGGCUGAACAAAAGGCAGGAAUGGGGAAAAGUGAGCAUAAAGAGAUUGAUAACAUAUGGACGAACAGAAAACAAAACGAGAGAUUUUAAACAGUGACAAAGAAUCAACAAAAAGGAAAUGGAGGAGAGACAGACGACCAACAGGAAAUGGUAAAGACGAAAGUGAAUGACUCAUAAACACAAACAAAACCACCACAUAAGUUAGACUCUGACUCAUAAACACAAACAAAACCACCACAUAAGUUAAAGUAAUACAGAGGAGAGAGUAAUGACACUGACAAAUUA